UCAUUGGCCAACCCUGGACCACGUGGUCCCUCGUACCAAUCGAUCGAAUUUCUAGUUGCAAUUCUCUGUCUGUCCCUUGGCUCUGGGCAGGAAAGGGGGGGACCGGUGGCGCGGGGUUUAGGGAGGGGCUAACGAGGGGGGUCUCUUCGCCCCCUCACUCUCCUUCUUCGCCUUGUCCCGGCCCUGAGUGGCCGGCCCAGAAGGGGUUGAAAGAAUGUUGUUGGCUGGGACACACCCGGGAGGGCACACACUGGAGGAAGCUAACAGACGUCGCCAGGGACCCAGGGUCCUCUCCUCCCAGUUCCCCGGGUCGAGCCGGUCCCGCUGGCCACUCCCUCUUACAGCGCCCACUCGGCCCGCGGCGGUCCCAGGGCAAGCAGCCUGGCCCCUUGUCCCGGGCGCUUGAAUAUCCUCCCCGGAUCACUGCUUCAGCCCACACUUUGGGGAAGGUGCUUCCCUGGGGCUCGCUCCGGAUCAGGCGCCUGCGCCCUCAGGGGCACCCCGACUGCCAAAUUUGCGCCCCUCCUGGGACUGUUUGAGAGAAGGACAAACUUUUGAACGGAUUAAAAAUCAAGAGGAGUCCGUCUGGGGCAGAGACCCAUCUCCUUAAGAUGAAGUCAGAGGAGUGCUUCUCCCCUCCACCCCCCACCCCCAGCACAGUCUUCCUACUUUCUCCAGCGCUCAAGGGAGGGCAAAGAGAUGAGCCCCUUACCCAGUUCCGGAGCUGAGAUUGCCCCUCAUCUACACACAAGAGAAGUCCUGGGAGGAAGAGAUGGCUCUUCUAAAAGGAGUCAAGUUGCAGAGGGUGGGUUGGGAAGGCGCGACUGAACUUGGGGGUCCCCGGGUUGAGAGUGGGGGGAGUAGGCAAGCCAGGGCGGGGGCUUGCGGCGUGAUCUGGGAAAGCAGGUGAGGGCGGAGGCCGCUGCAGGUGCACUGGCAGGGCGGGGCGGGGUGGGGGGGUAACUCUCAGAGCCCUGUGUUCUUGGAAGGGGAGGCCCGGCCCAAACCGGAUGGUCUCCGUUGCACCGGAGGUUUGUGCGUCCUGCCCUAAAAAACCGGGCAGGCUGCUGAGGGCAAAUUUGAACCAGUUCUUGCAAAGGGCCAGGAGGGGUUGUGCAUCCCAGGAGGGAGAAUUCCCACGCCAGCGCGUGGUGUCCCUGGCCCCUGCCCAGCCCGAACUUCCAGAGGCUGCUUGGCCCUGCUCUGUUAGGAGCUGCAGAAUCGCCCAGGCCUUUGUUUUCGCUGCGCCCGGGGUUUUUCUGCUGGUGAUGCAGCGGCUGGCUGUCCGGCACCUGCUCCUACCCGAGCCCCCGGAAUUGGGCCCUCCUGGCUACGAGGUUUAGGAGGGUCGCAGCCCCGCACUGCCUAGGGACCUGGUCUUGAGAAGGACUAUCCAGGGGCAGACAUGAAGGUGAUUGAUACCCAAACUAAGCCCUUUUCUUUCCUCCCGUUCUGUGGCCCUACCACCUCUCCAGCCCAGAGGACUUGAGUGGAAGGUCUCGGGCUGCCCCAAUCCCAGAGCUGAUAGGGCAGCUGCCUAGGCGCUGGGUGCACCAAGAGGAGGUGCCUGGCUCUGGGCUUUGUCCCCCUCUUGAUGAAUCCAGUCUUGUUUUGCCCCUACCUCCCCAACACUCCCCCUACCUCCUCCCAUAAUCUGCGGGGCUCUCUCUCUUUUACUCUUCCCUUUCUUUUCUUCCUCUUUCUCUUUUUUAUUAGGAUUGAUGGAGAGACAACAAUUUGGCAAGGCUCCUCUAAGCCUGUAGUGGGGAGCUGUGGACUCGGCCCUGACUUCUCAACUAGGGGGAACCGUCCCAUUCCUGGGCCCUUGCAUUUGGCCCCCAAGUUGGGGGGAAGUCGACAAAGAAUGGCUUGAAGGAUGGCUGGCCUGACACAGGACAGAGCCCCAGCUUGGGGAGGGGGCAGUUUUAGGCCAAAUUUCCAUUGCAGAGAGAGGACUUAGAAACAAAGGAAAGAAGGUUGAGGAAACAGCACAAAGGACUAGAAAAUUUGAGAACCACAAAGAUAAAAGACCAGCGAGGGAAGAAAAGAUUCGAAAAAGCCCCAGCGCUGGGGACAGAGGAAGGGCCUCCGGGAGGCUGAGUGGGAGAGAAGUGAAGAUGAAAAAAUUUUGAUAAGAGACAGAACAAAAGGUGCAGGAUUCGCCUGUUUGGUGAGGGGGGAAAGCGAAGGGAAGGGAAAGCAAAGGGGUGAAAGGAGGGCGCUAGAAAGUAAAAGAAAAGGGAAGGAAACAAGAAAGAAAAAAGGAAAAGCAACAGAAGACAGAAAGAGAAAGGGGGGAAAGGGGAGAAGAAAAGAAGGAAGGUGAAGGAAGGGAAGAAUAUAGAGAAAAAACCAGCGAAGGUGGGGCAGAAAGAGAACAAAAGAAGGGGGGGAAUGAGAAAUAAAGAGAGAGAAAGAAAAGGAGGGCCGGAAACCAGCCGAAAGAAAGGGGAUCCUGAUUUGGAGGUGCACAGGGAGGGAAGGAGGAGGGAGAGAGGCCGCGGUGGCCCAGCCAGGGUCUCCCAGGCGCCCGGGCGCCCUACUGGCUUCCCCUGGGGCUACCUGGGCCCUGGCCUCCCACCCCGGCUGCCCAGGACCCCAGUGGUGCCCCGGAGGGAGGUGGGGGUUCAGCCGUCCCCUUGCGCCCAGCUUCUCCCAGGAGAAGCAGCUGACUGAGCUGGAAGAAGGACUUCUUCCUGCAGCCACGCCAGCCUCAAACCCAGCACAGCGGGCCUGGAGGCGCAGCAGGUCAAGAUCUGGUUCCCAAACCAGAACGCGGAGCCGAAGAGGCGGUUUAGAGAUGGGGGGGACCAGGGGCCACACCGCCCUGGCUUGUCUCCUCGCCCCCAGCCCCGAGAGCCUCCACCCUGACCUUGCUGGCAGAGGCUGGCUGCAGACUGACUGCUUUUGUUCCGCCCUGUGACCUUGGGCCUCAGUGUGAUCUUAGGUCAAAUGAGUCCUUUGUGCUGGAGGGUUCUUCUGUAAUUUUGGUUGGCCUGUCUGUAUUUGCGCGGGGGAGAGAGGGGUGCAGAUGAGGCCUGGUCCUCCCCAGCAAGGGCAUGUUCAUUGGUGAGAAGAAAAAUCCUCCUUUGCCAUCCUUCUCUCUCUCCAUGCCCCAGAAAACUUCCUGCCAGGGCACAGGGUUUCUCUACACCAGAAAGGAUUGUGUGAACUUGUAAAGAGCUCGGCAUGAGGUUGUCCAGUGCUGGAGGAACCGGAGAAGGAACCUCAGUUUUGAAAGAGAAUGAGGACGUUUCCUACAGGGGCAAGUGGAGUGGAGCUUUGCAGGAUAUAGCACUGAACUCACACGCACAAAGACGUUAAUUGGCAAAGGGGCUUUAGACUGCGCUGCAGAGGAAUGAACUUGGGGUUAUUGUGUGUCUGUGGCGCGUGGGGCCUACACUCCCACGCCCCGUUCAUUUGCGCCGGGGACAACUGCCCAGUUUGAUUCAGAGGGUCUCUUAAAGCCAAUUAGGUAACUCCUUUGUUUCCCAGGAGUGCAGACGGAACACUGCCAUUGGGCUCUCCUUGCUGCCUUGGCCUCUGCCCGUUUCUGCUUGCCGUUGUUUUCUGCCUCACUGAGGGGUUGGGGGGGAGGGGGACAGGAAAAUAAAAUGUCCCUCCCCACUCCCCUAGUCCUUCCCUGUACCCUACCCCCACCAAACCUUCUAGCUGCUGACGGUAAUGAACUCCCAGGAGUGCAGAGGGGACAGUGGCUGAGAUCAGCCAGAUCUUCCAAGGGCAGCACGAGCCUUGGGGAUGGGCUUGAGGGACCUUCACAUGGCCAGCUGGUGUCCACAGUAAGCCUUGCAGCCAUUCUAGGGCGGGGGCCGGGGGGGGGGUGGGCUCGGUCCAGUGCUUCCCAGCACUGUGCUUCUAGACUUCCUCCCCUUCUCCCAAGCUACUUCUUUCCUUCAUUUCCGCCUCCCCCUCUCUCUCUUGCUCCCUUCCCUCCUCCUUCCUGUUCUUUAGGUUCUCUCUUUCCUUUAUCAUCUAGCCCAGGCUGGGACUCUUGUACUGUCUUUGUGCCCCCUGCCCUGAGGCUUUGCUGUGGGAACUUCAGGCAGGCUAAUAACCUGAGGGCUGCCCUCAGGAGUUCAUGAUGUGGAUGCAGUACUGGGACUGGGAGAUGAGGGGCAAAAUGGGGGGUAAGCUUUGCUAAUCAGGUGCGGGAUGAAUCAACUGGUUUUCUCUAUCAGUUGUGAUUGAUAGAGACCACAUCGCAGUGGCUCAUCCCAGGAAAUCUUCCCCCACCUCACGGAUCUGCUGGCCUGCCCCUGCCCACGGGGGUGGGGUUGCUGGUGUCCCCAAGGCCAUUCUCUCCCAGGGCGAGUGAGGGCCUCCAAGAGCGCCCCUUGCCUCAGUAGAUGGGGGUGCUGGGGGUGGGGGAAGAGAGGUCAGUGAUGCCAGGUCAAAGCCUCAAACUAUUAAAGAAGCAAAGCCUGUUUCCCUAUUCCCGAUGCAUUUUAGGGGUCCUCUUUCCCUUGGAUGGAGAGGCUGCUCCUCUCUUGGCUCUUGGCUGUCUCUCCGAGGAACACACCCCUUGAUUAGCCAGGCCCGCAGCCAUCCCCAUCUGCUCUGCUGAGAAGGGAGGCCACUCAUUCCAGGCCUUGGUGGAAGGGAUACGGACUGCCCAACGCAGCUUCCUUGCCUCAACUGGCCCCUCAGGGAAGGUGGGAACCUCCUUCACUUCGCAGGAUCCGGAAUCUCGGCCGGCAGAGCGGACAGCCGCGCUCUGGAGCCUGACGCCGGAAGAAGUUUCUGCCAUUGCGCUCUCCUUGCUGUCUCAGCCUCUGCCCAUGUCUGCGUGCUGUUGUGUUCUCCCUCACUGAGGGAAAUAAAAUGUCCCUCCCCACUCCCCUAGUCAUUCCCUGUACCCUACCCCCACCAAACCUUCUAGCUGCUGACGGUAAUGAACUCCAGCUUCCAGCCUUGCUCAUAAGCUACUCACAGUGAAUUCAAAUUCUCUUCUGGGCAGGAGGGAGGACAGAUGCUCCUUCCUCGGUCCUCCCUUGCUCAGUGAUCCAUUUUGAAGGCCUUCUGGGGUCAAAGUCAGACCAGAUUGCUUCCAUUGGUAUAAAAUUAGCAUCUUAAAAAAAUCACACCCAGAUUUCUAGCAUCCCAGAAUAGAAGUCUUGGGGCACCUGGCUGGCUCAUUCAGUGGAGCAUGUGAGUCUUGAUCUCAGGGUCGUGAGUUCAAGCCCACAUUGGGCAUAGAAAUUACUUAAAAAAAAAAAAAAAAGGAAUAGAAGGUCUUUACCCAGACCCACACCUCUUCUCUGGCCUUUCAAACCCGUUGAUGAUAUAAAGGCUUGUGGAGGUGGAGGAACAGAAGGGAAAUGAGCAAUUUCCUCCAUCUAAAAGUCAGUCGUUUCAGCUGGUCAUUCUACUGUAUUUAUUUAGUACUUACUAUGUGUAAAGCAUCACCCCUACCUCAGUUUGUCAUGACUGUCGAAAGCAAUUCUUGCCCCUAUAAGGCUUCAGUGUGUGUGUGGACAGAUCUACAAAUAAACAAAUCAAUGGAAAAGAAA